AAAUUAAACAGGCAUUCAUUUUACAAUCACCAAAUGUGGUUACAAGAUGUCAAAUCAGGCGACCCUGUCCACCAUUACUGGUAGUAGUGGCCACACAGCAUCAUGUACUACACAGAGCACAGAAAGCAACAGAGCAGCAAUAUCACUCCUGGAAAACACUGACAACAUGCAGCUGUCAUUCACUUAAUGCUGGCUUCAUUUGCAGCUCCAGGUUUCCUAGUCAAUAAAGUGGCAAACGGGAAUGCGUGUGUAUUACUGGAAUGUACGCAGGACAUUUCCACUGGGACAAAGUCGCCUGCUCUCCGGAGAAAGGGAAACUGGUAAUGCCACAAUGGACUGCAAUCAAAGAUACAUUUGCAUUUGUUUGCUAAAGCUUUAGGCCUUGUGGUACAGCCUACUUAAACUCACACCAGCAAAUAAAGUUUUACUGUUAACUUGCGCGUUCACCUGCAAGCUCCAAACCUCAGCAGGACAACAGCAUUGUUUAUUUUUCUCUUUAUUUUUUGCUUUCUUUAUAAGAUGGCUGAAUUUCACCAGUCUCCACGGAGUC